rnacentral:rRNA from 1 species
AUUGAACGCUGGCGGCAUGCCUUACACAUGCAAGUCGAACGGCAGCACGGGUGCUUGCACCUGUUGGCGAGUGGCGAACGGGUGAGUAAUACAUCGGAACAUGUCCCGUAGUGGGGGAUAGCCCGGCGAAAGCCGGAUUAAUACCGCAUACGAUCUACGGAUGAAAGCGGGGGACCUUCGGGCCUCGCGCUAUAGGGUUGGCCGAUGGCUGAUUAGCUAGUUGGUGGGGUAAAGGCCUACCAAGGCGACGAUCAGUAGCUGGUCUGAGAGGACGACCAGCCACACUGGAACUGAGACACGGCCCAGACUCCUACGGGAGGCAGCAGUGGGGAAUUUUGGACAAUGGGCGAAAGCCUGAUCCAGCAAUGCCGCGUGUGUGAAGAAGGCCUUCGGGUUGUAAAGCACUUUUGUCCGGAAAGAAAUCCUUGGCUCUAAUACAGUCGGGGGAUGACGGUACCGGAAGAAUAAGCACCGGCUAACUACGUG